rnacentral:rRNA from 1 species
UUCCGGUUGUACCUGCCGGACCCGACUGCUAUCGGAGUGGGACUAAGCCAUGCGAGUCGUGCGUCCCCGGCUGCGGGGGCGCGGCGCACGGCUCAGUAACACGUAGUCAACCUGCCCUGGAGACGCGGAUAAUCCCGGGAAACUGGGGCUAAUCCGCGAUAGGCCUAGGGUGCUGGAAGGCCCCUAGGCCCAAAGGGGCAGGCGGGCAUGCUCCGCCUGUCCGCUCCAGGAUGGGACUGCGGCCGAUCAGGUUGUUGGUGGGGUAAUGGCCCACCAAGCCUAUAACCGGUACGGGCUCUGAGAGGAGGAGCCCGGAGAUGGGCACUGAAACAAGGGCCCAGGCCCUACGGGGCGCAGCAGGCGCGAAACCUCCACAAUGCGCGAAAGCGCGAUGGGGUCACUCCGAGUGCCGCCCGCUGAGGGCGGCUUUUCCCGGGCCUAAAAAGCCCGGGGAAUAAGGGGAGGGCAAGCCUGGUGUCAGCCGCCGCGGUAAUACCAGCUCCCCGAGUGGUCGGGACGAUUAUUGGGCCUAAAGCAUCCGUAGCCGGCCCGGUAGGUCUCCUGUUAAAUCCAACGGCUCAACCGUUGGGCUGCAGGAGAUACCGCCGGGCUAGGGGGCGGGAGAGGCGGACGGUAUUCCGCGGGUAGGGGUAAAAUCCUCUGAUCCGCGGAGGACCACCAGUGGCGAAGGCGGUCCGCCAGAACGCGCCCGACGGUGAGGGAUGAAAGCUGGGGGAGCGAACCGGAUUAGAUACCCGGGUAGUCCCAGCUGUAAACGAUGCGGGCUAGGUGCUGGAAGGGCUGCGGGGCCUUCCAGUGCCGCAGGGGAAGCCGUUAAGCCCGCCGCCUGGGGAGUACGGCCGCAAGGCUGAAACUUAAAGGAAUUGGCGGGGGAGCACCACAAGGGGUGAAGCCUGCGGUUCAAUUGGAGUCAACGCCGGGAACCUUACCCGGGGUGACAGCAGGAUGAAGGUCAAGCUAAAGACUUUACCAGACGAGCUGAGAGGAGGUGCAUGGCCGUCGCCAGCUCGUGCCGUGAGGUGUCCUGUUAAGUCAGGCAACGAGCGAGACCCCCGCCGCUAGUUGCUACCAUCUCCCGAAAGGGAGAUGGGGCUAAUUAGCGGGACUGCCACCGCUAAGGUGGAGGAAGGAGGGGGCCACGGCAGGUCAGUAUGCCCCGAAACCCCGGGGCCACACGCGGGCUGCAAUGGUAGGGACAAUGGGAGCCGACCCCGAAAGGGGGAGGAAAUCCCCAAACCCUACCCCAGUUAUGACUGAGGGCUGCAACCCGCCCUCACAAAUCUGGAAUCCCUAGUAACCGCGCGUCAUCAUCGCGCGGUGAAUACGUCCCUGCUCCUUUGACACACCGCCCGUC